rnacentral:lncRNA from 1 species
AUGCUGCCAUCAGCUAACUCUCUGCCACAAAAGAUAGCUUUUCUUCUGAUAAGGGAAAUAACUAUGAGGCAUGUGGAGAAGUGGGAGAAUGAUAAGAGAAUGUUGGAGCCUUUAUUCAGAAGAGUUUGCAACUUUUUCUUGGGAUUUUCCAUAUUAAUCAUGCCCUUCAUAGAAGUGAGGAGUGAGAAGGAUGAGGAAACAAUUUUAUCCUUUCUCCUUGGGAUAAGCAGAAGUAGAGAUAUCUUCCUUGCCAGGCCAUAAUAAGAGGCGAAUGUCAGGAACCCGGAAGGACCAGAGAGAAGUUGGUGUCAGUAAUUGGCUCAUUGCUCCUUGAUCCAUUGUAAAGUCUGGAGGAUGUUUCAGAAAAUAAAGAAGGUAUCAUGGAAAGCCA